GCUGGGCAUGGUGGUGCACGCCUGUAAUCCCAGCUACUCGGGAGGCUGAGGUGGGAGGAUCACUUGAGGUCAGGAGUUCGAAACCAGCCUGGCUAACAUGGUGAAACCCCGUCUCUA
rnacentral:SRP_RNA from 2 species